GGAGGGUAUAGCUCAGUGAUAGAGUGCUUGCCUGUCUUGCACGAGGUCCUGGGUUCAAUCCCCAGUACCUCCA
rnacentral:tRNA from 1 species